rnacentral:lncRNA from 10 species
AUUCAAAGGUGAAAUGGGAUGAUUUCUGUGAAAGACAUGAUUUUGUCAUUUUUGGUUUGCUUUAAUUUAUAUAUAUAUAUAAUGGAUGGAUAUGUAUUAUAUAUAUUAUAUAUAUAAUGUGUGUGUACAUGAAUAUACCCUCUGGUGUGAACUGAAAGUCAAGCAGAAAUGUAGCAUAAAGAAUUUUACCAUGCUUAGAAGUUAUCAAAAGUAGCCAUAAGAUUUUGCCAAAUAUUGUUAUAGUUUGAAAUUACAUUUGAAUGCUAGGUUUGAAGAAGUUGUUUCACAUUUCAUAUUAAGUCACUUUUCAACCUUACCACCAUCUUCCUUUAUCACACUACUUCCACUCAAAUUGAAUACUAAGUGAGAGGAGGACGAUGGGGUUGAUGUUGAACAACUUUAAAGCUUACACGUAAUUUUGGAACAAUGAACAGUGACAGAAGAGCCGUGUAGAUCCCUGGGUUCCCUCUACACUGGCCACUGUGAACGGCAUGGCAUAUCAUGAAGACACAUCCUAAAGCAUGCACUUUGUUCUGUUUGCUAUGGUUCAAGAACAGAUUUCUAACAAAAUGUGUAAUUUAGAGUAAGAUAUGCAGAUUGCAUUGCUAAAAUGACCUGCCAAUAGUUGUAAUCUUUUUUUGAGACAGGGUCUCAUCUCUCUGUCACCCAGGCUGGAAGGCAGUGGCAAGAUCUCGGCUCACUGCAGCCUCUGCCUCCCUGGUUCGAGAGAUUCUCCCACCUCAGCCUCCCAAGUAGCUGGGAUUACAGGGAUGUGCCAUCAAGCACAGCUAAUUUUUGCAUUUUUAGUAAAGACGGGGUUUCACCGUGUUGGCCAGGCUGGUCUCGAACUCCUGACCUCAGUUGAUCCACCCACCUUGGCCUCCCAAAGUUCUGGGAUUACAGGCAUGAGCCACCAUGCCCAGC